rnacentral:rRNA from 1 species
CAGAGGUGCAAGCGUUAAUCGGAAUUACUGGGCGUAAAGCGCGCGUAGGUGGUUGUUAAGUUGAAUGUGAAAUCCCCGGGCUCAACCUGGGAACUGCAUCCAAAACUGGCAAGCUAGAGUAGGGCAGAGGGUGGUGGAAUUUCCUGUGUAGCGGUGAAAUGCGUAGAUAUAGGAAGGAACACCAGUGGCGAAGGCGACACCUGGGCUCAUACUGACACUGAGGUGCGAAAGCGUGGGAGCAAACAGGAUU